AACGAACGCUGGCGGCAGGCUUAAUACAUGCAAGUCGAGCGGGCACUUCGGUGUCAGCGGCGCACGGGUGCGUAACGCGUGGGAACAUGCCCUUAGGUACGGAACAACACAGGGAAACUUGUGCUAAUACCGUAUAACAUCUCCGGAUCAAAGAUUUAUCGCCUAAGGAUUGGCCCGCGUUAGAUUAGGCAGUUGGUGGGGUAAUAGCCUACCAAGCCGACGACCUAUAGCUGGUCUGAGAGGAUGAUCAGCCACACGUGCACUGAGACACGGACCAGGCUGCUACGAGGGGCAGCAGGAAGGAAUAUUGGACAAUGGGCGAAAGCCUGAUCCAGCCAUGCCGCGUGAGUGAUGAAGGCAUUAGGGUUGUAAAGCUCUUUUAGAUGGGAAGAUAAUGACUGUACCAUCAGAAUAAGCCCCGGCUAAAUUCGUGCCAGCCGCCGCCGUAA
rnacentral:rRNA from 1 species